GAUGAAGAACGGAGCGAAAUGCGAUAAGUAAUGUGAAUUCCAGAAUUCAGUGAAUCAUCGAAUCUUUGAACGCACAUUGCGCCCGCUAGUAUUCUGGCGGGCAUGCCUGUUCGAGCGUCAUUUCAACCAUCAAGCCCUGUUUAGGCUUGUGUUGGGGCCCUGCGGUUGCCGCAGCCCCCUAAAUGCAGUGGCGGGCUCGUUGUCACUCCGAGCGCAGUAGCGUAUCUCGCUCUGGGCGUGGCGGCGGGUGCUAGCCGUGAAACACCCACUAAGGUUGACCUCGGAUCAGGUAGGAAUACCCGCUGAACUUAAGCAUAUCAAUAAGCGGAGGA
rnacentral:misc_RNA from 1 species